UACGGAGGGUGCGAGCGUUGUCCGGAAUCAUUGGGCGUAAAGGGCGCGUAGGUGGCCCGGUCAGUUCGUGGUGAAAGCGCGGGGCUCAACCCUGCGUCGGCCAUGAAUACUGCCGCGGCUGGAGCACUGUAGAGGCAGGCGGAAUUCCGGGUGUAGCGGUGGAAUGCGUAGAGAUCCGGAAGAACACCGGUGGCGAAGGCGGCCUGCUGGGCUGACACUGACGCUGAUGCGCGAAAGCUAGGGGAGCGAACGGG
rnacentral:rRNA from 1 species